CAGCAGCCACGGUAAUACGUAGGGGGCAAGCGUUAUCCGGAAUAACUGGGCGUAAAGGGUGCGCAGGUGGUUUAACAAGUUAGUGGUGAAAGGCAUAGGCUCAACCAAUGUAAGCCAUUAAAACAGUUUAACUUGAGUGCAGGAGAGGAAAGUGGAAUUCCUAGUGUAGCGGUGAAAUGCGUAGAUAUUAGGAGGAAUACCAGUGGCGAAGGCGACUUUCUGGACUGCAACUGACACUGAGGCACGAAAGCGUGGGGAGCAAACAGGAUUAGAUACCCCAGUAGUCCCUGUCUCUUAUACA
rnacentral:rRNA from 1 species